rnacentral:tRNA from 1 species
UAGCUCAGUCAGUUGAGUGUGGUGCUGACAACGCCAAGGCCGUGGGUUUGAUUCCCAU